CUCUUUUGUUUUGUUCUGCGUUUUAAAAAAUACUUUGCAUUCCUUAUCUUGAUUCCUCAUGAGUGCGCGUGCAUUCGGCAGCAAGUGAAAGUGAAAUAUCAAUAAAAACCAAAAAUCGUUUGUUUGUUAAGUUUCAAUUACGAAUGGUUUCGAGUGUUCGCUUGUGUGCGUUUUUAUAUAUAUAUAUUAUAUAUACAUAUCUUCAUAUUUAUGUGUAUAAGCGUGUGUGUAGAUUUGCUGCCUUUGCUCGUUUAGUUGUAAUUGAAUGAAGCUGCCAAAACAUCGGCGACUCAAUCAACUUAAUGGAAAGCAAUCAAAUACGUUAAAAUCAUUUCGUCAGGCCAUGCGAUAAAGCAACCAAUUUUAUUGGAAUUAACGCCUACGGCGGCAAACUGAAAUAUGUUGACACAUAAAUUAUUACUCUACUCCGCUAAGCGCUAAAUAUAUUUUGAAUUUCAUCAAAACUUAUCCUUGCCACACCACGCGUCAAACGUCAGUGUUUGGGGUCUCAAUGAAGAGUCUGGAGCUCAUAGAUCAAAAUCAGAGUUACAACUAAAAACACAUGAAAUUGGUAUGCGAUCACAACUGAAAAAAAAAAAUAACUGAAAAUUUGCCAACGAAAAACUAUUACAAUAUACUGAACAACAACAACAACAAAAAAAAUCGCUCGAAAACACUCAACAAUAAUCUCAUCAAAACUCAACAAAAAUCAACUGAAAUUGGUUAAUGUCUAAAAAAUUCUGCACUCAACGCUUGCCCAAAUGAUUGACACUGUAGGCAGCGGAAAAAAAAAUUGAUGAAAAAAACAUUUAGCAAAAGAAAAUAACAACAAAUGAAUAAAAGAGUAUAGAAAAAUUGGAAAGUACCGUGUAAUAUUGGUUUGGAGAAAUUCGUUGCGAACACGAUGCGUGAAAAUUCUUUAAAAAUUUAAAUAAAUAUUUCAAAAAUGUUAAACUUAUAAAAAAGACUUGCCUAAAAUAUGUCGAAUAUAUUGUGUAAAAGUGAUUCUCCCAUUUUUCCCCCAAAAGGAAUGCAUUUGUAAUUCAGCAAAUUUACGUAAUGAGUGUGCAUAAAAAUUAAUAUUUAAAAAAGCGCAUCGCUUUUG